rnacentral:rRNA from 1 species
CACGCUGUAAACGAUGAUUACUCGCUGUUGGCGAUACACAGUCAGCGGCCAAGCGAAAGCGUUAAGUAAUCCACCUGGGGAGUACGAUCGCAAGAUUGAAACUCAAAGGAAUUGACGGGGGCCCGCACAAGCGGAGGAGCAUGUGGUUUAAUUCGAUGAUACGCGAGGAACCUUACCUGGGCUUGAACGUGUGAUGCAAUACCGGGAAACUGGUAGUCCCUUCGGGGCGUCAUGCGAGGUGC